rnacentral:piRNA from 1 species
AUCGACGUUAAAAGGCUCUUUUCAGA